rnacentral:lncRNA from 1 species
UGUCUCUUCUCUCGUUGCAGUACUCCUUUUGAGCUGCAUGACAACAAUUAUGUGCUCAAGGCAAUGGAGUUUGGUGAUAGACCACAAAGUGAUACUGUCACACACAAUGUUACAGAUGGAGGGGAAUGUCUUAGCAUGUCAGGCUUGCAUCAGUCUCAGGUUCCUCCUUCAGUUUCAAGCUUGUCAAUUAGGCCUCCCACAUCACCUCCAUUCCCUGGAAUAUUGAAGGCAAGAGUCAAGCAAGAGCAUGAUAUGCAAGUUUAUGAUAUCAUCUUACCAUAUUUAAGUGUGUCUGUAUAUCUUGUAAAGAAAUUUACCAAAUUAAUAAUAUACCUUCUACUAGUUAGUCAUCAGUGCAGACAAGUCAUUUGGUAGGUCGGAAGUAGAUAGG